AAUAAGUACAGUUUUAUACUAUUCAUAUCCAAUGUUUGAUCAUCUUAUUUAAAAAAUUUUAUGAUUAAUAUUUUUAUUGUUAUUAGAUGAUAACACAUGAAUAUUACUUUAUAAUUAGUCACAUUUUGAAAAAAAACAUAAAAUUUCCAAAUAAGAUGGACGGUCAAACGUUGGAUACACAUACCAACGUUGUAUUUAUU
rnacentral:pre_miRNA from 1 species